CGGGCAGUAGCUCACUGGUAAGCUCUCGCUUCAUAUGCGGGAAGACCUGGGUUCGAUUCCCUGCCGCUUAC
rnacentral:tRNA from 1 species